AUGCCGCACGCCUUCAAGCCCUGGGAUUUAGUAUUCGCCAAGAUGAAGGGCUAUCCGCACUGGCCCGCCCGGAUUGACGAUAUUGCCGAUGGUGCCGUGAAGCCCCCACCCAACAAAUAUCCCAUCUUCUUCUUUGGUACACACGAAACAGCCUUCUUGGGACCCAAGGACCUGUUCCCAUAUGACAAGUGCAAAGAUAAGUAUGGGAAACCCAACAAGAGGAAAGGCUUCAAUGAAGGUCUCUGGGAGAUCCAGAACAACCCUCACGCCAGCUACAGUGCCCCUCCGCCACUGAGCUCUUCUGAGAGCGAGGCCCCCGAGGCUGAGCCUGCGGGUGGCAGCAACGCUGAGGAGGACGAGGAGGACUGAGGGGUCAUGGCCGUCACAGCUGUUACUGCCGCAGCCGCCAGCGACAGGAUGGAGAGUGACUCAGACUCUGAUAAAAGCAGCGACAACAGCGGUCUGAAACGGAAGACGUCGGCACUGAAGAUGUCAGUCUCCAAGCGAGCUCGGAAAGCUUCCAGCGACCUGGAGCAAGCCAGCGUGUCGCCCUCUGAAGAGGAGAACUCGGAGAGUUCGUCCGAGUCUGAGAAGACCAGUGACCAAGACUUCACCCCUGAAAAGAAAGCUGUGGUCCGGGCGCCACGGCGGGCCCCCCUGGGUGGACGGAAGAAGAAGAAGGUGCUGUCAGCUUCCGACUCAGACUCCAAAGCGGAUUCAGAUGGGCCCAAGGAGGAGCCGGUGCCUGUGGCCAGGUCGGCGUCUUCCUCCUCCUCUUCCUCCUCCUCUUCCUCCUCCUCUGACUCCGAUGUGUCUAUCAAGAAACCUCCUCGGGGCAGAAAGCCAGCUGAGAAGCCUCCCCCAAAGCCCCGAGGACGGAAACCAAAGCUUGAGCGGCCACCUUCCACCUCCAGCAGCGACAGUGACAGUGAUGAGGUGGACCGCAUCAGUGAGUGGAAGCGGCGGGAUGAGGAGCGGCGGCGGGAGCUGGAGGCCCGGAGGCGGCGGGAGCAGGAAGAGGAGCUGCGGCGGCUGCGGGAGCAGGAGAAGGAGGAGAAGGAGCGGCGGCGGGAGCGGGCUGAGCUCGGGGAGGCUGAGAGGGCCAGCGGCGGCAGCAGUGGGGACGAGCUCAGGGAGGACGAUGAGCCCGUCAGGAAGCGGGGCCGCAAGGGCCGGGGCCGAGGGCCACCCUCCUCCUCUGACUCAGAGCCCGAAGGGGACCUGGAGAGAGAGGGAAAGAAAUCCGCCAAGAAGUUGCAAGCACAGAGCACGGAGCCCACUUGGAAGGUCAGCCAGAAGGAGAAGAGAGGGCGGCCUGAGGAGAAGCCCCGGGCCAGGCCGGUGAAGGUAGAACGGACCCGGAAGCGGUCAGAAGGGCCCCCGCUGGACAGGAAGGUGGAGAAGAAGAAAGAACCUUCUGUGGAAGAGAAGUUGCAGAAGCUGCACAGUGAGAUCAAGUUUGCUCUGAAGGUCGACAACCCGGAUGUGAAG